rnacentral:rRNA from 1 species
UAAAGGAAGCGAUUCCGGCUACGGAUGGUCAUGCGUCGCAUUAGCUAGUUGGCGGGGUAACGGCCCACCAAGGCGACGAUGCAUAGGGGUUCUGAGAGGAAGGUCCCCCACACUGGUACUGAGACACGGACCAGACUCCUACGGGAGGCAGCAGUGAGGAAUAUUGGUCAAUGGCCGCAGGGCUGAACCAGCCAAGUCGCGUGAGGGAUGACGGUCCUAUGGAUUGUAAACCUCUUUUGUCAGGGAGCAAAGGGCGCCACGUGUGGCGCUUUGCGAGUACCUGAAGAAAAAGCAUCGGCUAACUCCGUGCCAGCAGCCGCGGUAAUACGGAGGAUGCGAGCGUUAUCCGGAUUUAUUGGGUUUAAAGGGUGCGCAGGCGGAAUGUCAAGUCAGCGGUAAAAUUUCGGGGCUCAACCCCGUCGUGCCGUUGAAACUGGCGUUCUUGAGUGAGCGAGAAGUAUGCGGAAUGCGUGGUGUAGCGGUGAAAUGCAUAGAUAUCACGCAGAACUCCGAUUGCGAAGGCAGCAUACCGGCGCUCAACUGACGCUCAUGCACGAAAGCGUGGGUAUCGAACAGGAUUAGAUACCCUGGUAGUCCACGCAGUAAACGAUGAAUACUAACUGUCCGGGCAGAAUGAUGCCUGG